GCGGCGGCGGCUGAUGCUUUUAAUGACAGAAUAGUGUGCAGUAGCUCCGUACGAGGACGUCGUUGUUGUCAAAGAAGGAACAACAACGACGGGCUUCACUCCGAUUGGCCCCGAUAGAAGUCGCUCGCUAGUUUCACACCAUCGCUAGCACAAUUGUACAACAGCUAGUAGGUCGAACUUCGAUGAUCACGGAUGGCCAGACUGCGCCAUGCUUACGAUAUUUGUGUUAACAUGAUCAUUAUGACGAUACGGUGAUACGAGUGAUGCCUGCUUAUCGAUUUACGAACAAGUGACGCCGAUAAUUGUGAUGAUGAGUGUCAUGCCGCUAAGCAUAGUUGGCUAACUAGCGAGUGAGUUACUAACAGUUGGUGACGAUGACGGCAGUAGCUUUCCUGUAAAACGACGACAACGGAAACCGCUUUUUGCACCGCACCUAGAACGACUGGAAUUAUAACGACGAGCUCUAAUCCAAUCGCUAUUAUUAUAUAAAGAUAUUCCGUAUAAUUCUAAUUUACGUAGUUCUUGGACAACGACAACAUUGUUAUUGACCUCGCCGCCGCCGCCGCCGCCGCUGCUGCUGCCGCCGCUGCUGCUGCUGCUGCUGCCGCUGCUGCUGCUGCUGCUGCUGCUGCUGCUGCUGCUGCAAGUGGCGAUUUUCUUGCUACGCUUUUUUUGCUAAAUAAUCUUGAGUAGCGUCAAAGUUCAAUCCAGAUGAAUUUUUUUCAAACUAGAGCGUCCACGAGCAAGCGACGGGGGCAGUGUUCUACUUACACUAGGAGAUUGUGGCAUUUGCCAACUUUCGGCUACAACUCUCCGUUCAAUAAAUAGAUACUGUGUCAAUAGUUUGAUGCGAGUGAUACCUUCUAGCAUCUAGUUUGUGACGAUAAUGAGUUACGAUAUUGUGUAUCUCCGUGUAUUGUCAUGCCGUGAUAUACUAUCGCAGGUGCAGUGCUACAGUCCGUCAUUGUUUGUUUCUUAACAAUGGAUAAAGUGGAGCUAGUCCGAGAAAAGCAACUGUUCUGCCACCUAAAUUCGAGCGCUAGAAUGAUGACGGCACCGAAGACGACAAGACUGCAGUCCAGUAUGUCAGAGUUGCUGGAUUCUGGGUCAUGGAAGAGUUCAUUGUGAACGUUAAUUCGGCGCUGGCAGAGGAAAUGCCUGCAGUAUUCUGUUGCUGUGUAUGUAAUGCUACUAUUAAAAGCGAUGAUGAUGUUUAGAUCUCGGCACUGCUGAAAUACACCGUGGUAAACUCCUGUUCAAAAAGGAUGUGAUUUUCCAGAUGAGUGAGUGCGAUUGGCCGGGCUUUGACAACGAAGAAGAGUUCUAUUUACGCACACGGAAGGGAAGCGACCACUGAUACUUAAAUCGAUCAAUGCGCAUAGACUGUAAUUGCGCCACUAUGAAAUUGAAUCUAUAUAACAUGCAUCUCUUAUUAUUUAAUCCAUUUACGGCCACGUCAGCGGCCGUGGGGACUGAUGAGCCCACCAAUACAGCCGGCAGGAUUGGUCGAUCAUCAACGCCUUCGUCACUUUCGAAAUUCGCUCGCCGAUUAUUUUUCUGCCAAUUCUGCGCGUAUAGCUCGCAAAAUCGACAUAACGUCGUACGGCACGAGCGCAGCCACACAGGUUAGCUAGCCUUCACUUUCGUUGAGUGCUUAGAUUUUUCCGCUAAUCGACCGAAUGCUACAAAGUUGUAUCCAAGGUAUGAUCUUUUGGAUAGAUUUUCGAUCAACGUAUGUAUUGCGCUUAACCAUGAUUCUGAUCAUUGGGAUUAUCUCUUUCUGAUUAAUUAUAAUCCACGAUUGUGUCUGUCCGAAAAAGAUGCAUUUGUCAUCGACGUUGCUUUCUACCGACGAUGCUCUAUCUCAACAUGGUAAAUGUAAUAACUUCUAAAAAUAAUUUAGAAAUAUGGCACAGCAAGCAGUCUCGGAUAUAGGUCAAUUGACAUUCGAUAAUAAUAUCAGUAUUCCUUUACUAGAAACAACGUCUUGGCUCUUUUAGCUUUCAAACAUUUCUCCAUUCUCUGAAUGUUCUAUCAGUAUAGCAAUUCUGGCGCAUGGCGGCUAAUCAGAUUUUGGAAGGAAAAUACGCCUAACAUGGAGAGGUCGCGACAGUCGUAUAUAGUUAUUCUCUAAACAUUAGCCAGGUUGACGCUUAGCUGACUGUCAAUCUCGCGCGAUCAUACUCCCUGAACAAUAAUGAGAUCGUUUGAUUUGAUUUGAGUCAUUAUUUUAUACAUGAUUUUGUUUGUUUGCGAAAUGAAAUCCUCUAAUAUGAAGAUCGACCUUUUCAAAAUACUUAUACACAUUGAUCGAAAGCCUGUGCUGAACACAGCUGAACCUGCGAACCCUUCGAAUUUAGAAUCUAACCUUUACUGAAUUUCAAAAUUUGCUAGAGGCCAUUUUUAUCAUUGUGAUCACUAUGUCAUCACUAUGAUUAUCAUUACUAUUCAGUGACUUUCGGCGUGUACACCUCAUAACGUCAACUAGUACACAAGGAAACUAUGCAUGUGCGUAAUAUCACACUCGUCCGCCUACCUUUUUUAAACUUGAGGGGCUGAAGGGGGUAGGAAGAUGAUGCGGUAAUAUGAUGUUCCUGUUUGCCUGUUCAUGCAUGCUCGUGUGGAGUGAUACGGAGACUAUAGUAUUAUCGCCUUUAUCCAUGGUCGCCUCCAGCUGCCAGGAAGGUUCCUUAUACUCUGACUGAGCGCUAUCUGACGAAAUCAUGACAACGACGUGGUAGGCACUUAACGUUGUCUCUUUUCUUCUCCAGAAAGUAAUUUACUGAAAAAUAAGCCAUGUGUAUUCUACUCAAACGGAGGAAAUCCUCCUGCCAAUUUCCAAAUGACAUAGUGGAUUUGCUUUAAGUGUAAUUUCUAACUUGGUACUUCAUUUAAAAUAUUUUGUAAACAAGAUUGCGAAUAAAAUAAUUCCUCAAGCCAUAUGCAGGAAGCGGAUGCCUAAUUGGCGAGGAAUUAAUAGAGCAGUACGCCCGUGUAGAUGAAUUGCCUCUUUUACUUCCAAGGAUCAUCAAGCCUGUGCGAUUGAUAGUUCACUAGCGAGUGCUUCACAACAACAAAGGUUUCUCAAUCAAUCAAUCUCAUUUGAGCAUGGAUGUUCUGCUUAUUCGAUUAACGAAGGGCACUGUUGAAGAGAUACAUAAUGGCGCUCUAAAUGUUAAAGGAUGAGCCAGGCUUCAUUUGACCAGUCGAAAGUUUUGGCUAAAAACGCAGGAUGCCGCUUUCAAUCACAAUACCGGUCUAUUUAGGAAUUGUAAACUCUCAAUAUCAAACCCAAACAACACACUGUUUCUGUAGAAGGUGAUGGACCGAUCGGGUCAACUGUUACGUGUCGGGUGAAAAGCUGCGCUAUCAAGAACGGGCGGCUCGCUAGACGUAAUAUUUGCUUUAAGGUGAUUAAAUGUGGCCAGUAGCGAAGGCACAGGCUACUUAUCCUCUCAGUUGACAUGCUGUCGUCCGUCCAUCUUCACAAAAUGCACCCGCCAUGGGUACUCGUGGUAUCUACGAAAGCCUAAUACAUUUAUACUUCUGCCGAUGAGAAAAUAAUAAGCCUUAUCGUUAAACAACCUGAGUGUGGACGCCCAGAAGAACAAUGAAAAGUUUAAGUAGAUGCGGUUGUAUCACACACCCUAAUGCUGAAUAUAUUUAUUUAUUAAUUAUUUUCCAGAUUUUCCUGUAUACGUAACUUGUUGUUGUGUUAUCUGUGAUAAGGUAUUCCAUCACAACGGAAAGGCAUUCAAAGCCAAAAUUAAAGCGAAUAUUUUUUUGUGUUUUAAAACAAUAUGACUGGAUUAAAUGUACGCCACUUUGAUCGAUGACUUUCUAGCAUUUUGCUAGUAACACCAUAAGCCAAUCGCUGUACAAGGUGAGGGCGGAAAAUUGUGACAAGUUACGUUUGCACCCCUCCAUUGAAAUUCAAUAAACACCGUUGAGUGAGUUAAGCAGAGACCGGGACGGAUAUUAGAUUGACGGUGUAAAACUCGGACUAUAUGGCAGAUGCAGUACAAUUCUCCCGGGUGACUGGUCUGGCAUUGUCAUGUCCGAAAUGACACCGCUUUUGAUAAGUCCCGUUCCGAGGUCCGAAUCAACCAUUUUGCUAAGCGGCCACAGCUCAUAAUGCACGAUUCCUUUCCAGUCACCUUUUUUUGGCGGCAAUCAAAGCUCUGCCGUGGACUGUGAAAUCUUUCCCAAAUUUGACAAUUCUUUUUUUCGCAUAUUAUGGUCAUAUGUAAUCCACGUUUCAUCGUGCGUAAUCAACCGCUUUAGAAAUAUAAUAACAUAAUAUGAAAUAAUGAUGGCUUGGUUUCGUGGCAAUUCUGUACAGUUUCACCGAUGGAAAUGCGAUAGGAAAAAUUGUUUUGCCUCAGUCCGUUUAGCACCCAAACAUCGAACCUUUUUUUAUAGUUGGCUUUUUUCAAAUGGUUUAGAACUAUUCAAUAGCGAAUGUUUAGUUCCAUGGUGAUAUUAUGGUUUCUUCCGUGUUGGUUCCGUUCAACUUUCGGCAUAAUUUCGUUAACUUUUUUCGUAAUCGGUCGACCGGCACCAGGAGCAUCCUUCAAAUCUAGAAUAGAAGCGACAAAAUUACUUUGAGGCCGUUUCUUCCGAUAACACAUCCUGACCACAAACAGCACGAAUUUUUUUAUAUGUGUCUGAAUACCAUUUGUGCUUUUGUUAUAAUAAAAUCGUAAAAUAUAAUAAAUUUUUGCAAAAAUUUCCUUCCUCUUCGAGAUGGUCUACCUUGAGUCUGAGUGAAGGUAUUCUGACAGUUUUACCGCAUCAGAUCUGGGCUUUCAGACGGCACUAAUGCCAAUCCAACGCGAUUCGUACCGCCUGAGAUAUGUCACUUGAAAGCUAUCCAGCUAAAAGUCCCUUUUUUACGUUUGGGAGAUUCUCGCCAAGCGUGGUGUGUCAGUGAAUAAAGGAAUCGCUUGAAGGACGGAUUUUUCAAUCUUGGUCCUUUUGUUUAAAGGGCUACGCUUUCCGAUGUACAAGAAACUCCGACUGAAAAAGUAAAUCAACUUGUUAAUAGGCUGGUUAGACUCACCCCUAGAGUUAUUUAACUAACCAGCAAAUAAUCCGUAUGCAAACACUGUUCGGAGCCAGAACAAUACAUUUUUUUGUUUUUGUCUUACCGCAGUUCUCAAAAUCCGGUAUAUAUGACUAUAAUUGUAAGCUAUCAUUCAUGAAAUCGAAUUUUAUGGGCGAUUCUACGAAGGCUUAAAAAAGUUCGAAUGAAAUAGUUUUUUCGUUUGAAUGAAAUAGAGCUUUCGUUUAUUUAAUUGUGGCUAAGAUAUGAACAUUUCGAAACGCUACGUAACAGCAAUGCAGCCGCUCAUUGGUUAGACACUCUAGGUCCACAGCUAUAGUUUUGUAAAAAUGCCUAUUUAAAACUCCUCAAGCCAAAAGAUUUUUUCUGUUUCGUAACGGACAGAAUAUACUCUACCAGCAGACGACAUGGGUCCAAUAGGAUCCCAAUUGGGUAAAUGUUAAACGAAGGGCUAUGUGAUUAGUGAUACCGUUCACUCCGUUGUAGACGUCAACUUUUUUUAUAUGAAAUACUGUGUAUGUUUAGCUCUUGUAAAAGAAUGGUCAAUUGUCAAACUCAUGAUGGUGUUAGAUAUUUUAUCGCUGUAAAUAGUUUUUUUGGUCGUGUUGGAUAAAUCUCGAAGAGCACUUUGCCUUAUCGUAACAAGUGUGAUAUUAGCUCUUUUUUUAUUCCAAAUUCUAGAAGGCAUUGUGACUAUAUUUGUUUUGUUUUUCUGAUUGUCAGUAACUGCGAAGGACAACAGUGAUAAUGAUAAGAUUUGCAUUAAAAUAGGAAAAGCUUGGCCUAUAUCGCCAUGCUAUUAUGGAUAUGAUUUUAAAGAACCAUUACGAGUUACAAUAAAGCUGCCUCCUACAUAACAAAUGCAGCAUAAUGAGCGUGUUAACGAACAGUUCGUCUAGCUGUCGUAAAUCCUUUUCCUGUCUAAAUUUCUUUAGUUUGUAUAGAUUCUAAUUUGUUGUAAUGAUAAAUACGCUACAAAAUUGUGUGUCCCAUAUUUACGCUUAUCGAUUUAUGCUGAAUUGCCUUACCCUGACCCGAACAACAAAGUUCUACUAAUCUGUCCACCAAAAAGACAAAGUGAUAGCGACCCAAUUUUACGCAAUAAGCGAAAAAAGUUUUCAACAACUAUGAGCUAACAGUUGGUGACAACACCUAACCGGCCCAAAAAUAUAUUCAAUAAGUGAGCUAUAACGCGCAAUGGCCAUAUAUAUAUAACACUUUUUCCAGGUGAAAAGCCAUUUAAAUGCAAAAUCUGUGGGCGAGGAUUCGGCGAUAGCUCAAAUCUGCGCCAACAUGAGCGCACGUGUCAGUCAAGAAAAGAAAAGGGAUUCAUCUCGUGAUAAGCUGUCCUAGUGCAGAAUCCUGCGGAAUCAUACUGCGCUCAGACAUCUUAAAACCUGGUAGGAGUCUUCCAUCCGGAUAACUCCCUGCUAAGCGAUCACUGGAUCUUUCACCGAAAAUGGGUUUGGUCGCGAUUCCUUGUCGCACCGAUCACUGUGGCGUGGUGUGCGUCUAUUCCAACUUCUGAUCUUUGAUGGCAGCUUUCUAUCAGUCCAAAGUGCAGACAUCACGCCCACUCAGAGGUGGUACGAUGCGUGACUGGUGCAGUAGUAUUUUUAUCCUGGAAAACCUUCUACGCACACUUUCGUGAACAUGGUAUCUGCUACAGGUGGAAGAAAUAGAAGCUCCAAGUGGGACACACCUAUUUGUGGGUACAGCAAACAUCAUUGGAAAGAAUACAUAUAUCCAGGGCUCGUUUAUACACGCGUUACCCUUUCGAUAUAUUUAGUUUGUCCAGGCAAACGGAUAAGUGUAUAUUGCUAUGGAGAUUUUGCAGAUCAGGACGUAGAAAUUGGACUCAUUUGCCGUGUCUUGUGUAUGAGCAUCGGCUCGAGGUUGUAUCAAUCUAAUCUGUUACGAUCAAUGAUAGUAGUGCACUCUGUUUGAGAACCUUAAACGCAAGUUCACCUUAUACUCUCAUGACAGUGCUUCAUCGGGCUAUUACCGGAGUCGUCUGCUCGCACGCACAAACAUAAGCAGUCGCACUAGCGGUGGUCUGGUCGGGCAAAUGUCCGUGGGUCGGGCAUACGCAGAACGCGAGGUCAGUCGGUAGAUCGCAGUGACCUAAUGAUCAGUAUGCCACAAGGCAUGAGUCUGAGCCUCUGUAUAGGACUGAUCGGAUCAAAUCUCUGGAAGCUCACUAAAAAGUGUCUAAAUAAAACACAAUCCUUUUAAUAGAUAGACAAAAUAUCUGAGGUCGUCAGUGUUAUUCAACAAUAACUGGCUUUAUCACCUCACGAUUGCGCUGUUUGAAAUUGACAAAAGAUGUAGCUGUACUCACAAACUAAACUGUUCACGAGAGUCUCAAAUGUAAGUCAACAUAACGUCAUGACAUGUACUAGUGAGCGAGUCAACAGGGAUUCUUGUAAAACUAUAGAUAAGGCAAUAGGAAUCGAUUGCGGUGGUCACAGUAGCCACUGUAGUGAAUGGUAUUCCCAGAUUCUUGUGGAUUAAAUAUGCAUUUAGCUAUAAAUAUCAAGAUAGACCCUAAUUAUGUUUUGGUUGUUAACUAAAUAAUAACCGUUUUUGUUUAUUGCCUUCCUUUUCUAAUGCUUCAUUUGUUCAUAGUAGCUUCUCUGUUUCGAUAUAACACUGCGGUGAUCGUUUAGUUCAGAUGAUAAAGUUCUGGGGGAGCCCAAACGUGCGGAUGUCGGGUAGCGUUCGUGUAACAUUUCGACACUCGUUGUCUGCCCUCUAGGAGAUGAAAAGGAUCAAAACAGCUGUCGAAACAACUUCGAAUAGACCUGAUAUGUACGAUAAAGAUCUUCUCUCUUACUUACCUACUUACUAAAUUUGAAAGUAAAAUUCAACAGGCACUGCGGUGAGCUAGCCUUGAAGGGGAAGGAUCACUAUAUGCUUAGCAAAAGAGUCCUAUCUACACGCAAAACAGGGCAUAUGUUUGGUGGACGCUGUGUUGCAAAUUCAUUUAUUUUCCAUGCGUCUUCGGAGCCCGAGAUCAACAGGACAUACUGCUAUCCGAACAAAACGAUCUCAAUAGAGCUGAAAAGCCUUAGCAUACAAAUCUACUACUAAUAACAAGGACACAUUAAAAACGGGAAGGCAGUCAACAAAAAAGGGCAUUACUUACUUAACCACCAAUUACCAUUAGGCGAUGUUCUUGUAAACCUGUUGAUUAUCUCCGUUCCUCCGAGACCUAUCACACAACUAGUCAGUGAUUGAAGAGAUACUGUCUCAUGCUUUUGAGUUAGUUAGACGAAAAUAAGUAAAUUGGUGUCUUUCUUAAAGACGAGUUUGUAAUUGUAUGUAGAUAGUUCAAAGCCUACAAUUUACCUGUCAUUUAUUCGAUAAAAUAUUCCGCGCAAUCGUCACACGCAUUUGUCAUACAAUAUUGUGCUAAAUUAGGUCUAUGUAGAUAUAGGAAAUGUCGCAAGUGCUUUCACACGAGAGUAUGAGUCUCAGCCGGGAGGUUAUUUAUACAUGACAUCGUUGCUAUUGCUAUAUAUAUGAGACGGUAACGACAGCAGUAACUACAGCAAUACUUUACGCAUUGUCCUAUCGAUUAUCAUUGAAAAGGUCUAUCUAAAUGUUUCCGUUUGACACGCAGACAAAUACUUUUGCAGCAAAUCAAAUUACGCAGCCUGUUAACGGUAACGUCUGUUAGAGCAAAAAGCCUGUAGCCACUGUUGGUCAAACGAGUUUUGCAAUACCCUAGUGUGGGUUUCAUGUAUAGGGUGAGUCAAAGCCAGCUAGCACUGUAGUUUUCUUGAAAAAAAAACACCCAUGUCUAGUGAUUUAUUCUGUUCCAAUCUAGAUACUACGAGGUUAAUGCUGAAAGUUUCCGGGCAAAGAAGCCAUGUCAAUCGUUCGUCUCAUCUCUAACCCUAUUGGCAUAAGUAGGCAGCUAUUAGCGGGUUGUACAUUCCUGGUUGUCGGUGAACGGAAGCUUCAUUAAAGCACAGGAAGGAUUUAUAAGGGUCUAUAUAGGAAAAUAGAACUCUUGGAGUUGCUUCAAUGGCUGGUACCAGAAACGCAUUCUUGCUUUGAGCGGUUGCAUUUCUUCGAAGAAACGAACGUCUUGGCUCACCUUAUUGACCUUAUACACGUGUACCUUCUUGAACGAUGUCGUCCAAGUCAAAAAAUCAUGCAGUAGGUAGAAGAGAUUGUACGUAGCAAACACCAAAGAAAACUAGAUACUAUUAAUAAUGACAAUUAUCUCUUACACAUGGAUGUAGACCUUGGUACAUUUUUCGCAAUGAUCACGCCACUACUCGCAGUAGCUAUGCAACAACCAAAAGCAACGAUUUGAUACUACUUUUACGGUGGCAGAUCCUGGAUGAGGCGGAACUAUGCCGCAAGAACGAACUAUCCCGCGACGCUAGGAGCUGUUAGAGUUUUUGAAAAAAAAAAUAUUUAUCAAUCACAUCUUUCAGCAGUACGCUCCCUUAUUAGGUCGGGCGUCCUUGCAUUGAGUGGUUCAUCAGUGAACUGAAAAUAGAUUCGUUUAUCUCUUUGAGACAUUUCAUUUUAUGCAUGUCUCAGUCAGUAAACAUGAAACAGUGAUAUUUAGUAUCGGUAAACGCGUCCAAGUUGUUUGCUAUACGUAUAUAUAUAUAUAUAUAUAUAUAUAUAUAUAUAAUAGUAACAUACGCAUUAUUGGGCUUCUAUUAUGUAUCGCUCUUGAAUCAAAAUUGAAUGGUCUCGUAUUGGUACGGUGCGACCCGUGGCGAUGCAAGGCGGUUAAUCGGCGCCAUUGCCGAUUACUUAACUAGUCUUUGAUAUAUGACUGAACCCAGCAUCACUUUAACUCAAUGCUGGUGCAAUUGGCUCUUGCUGGCUGUAGUUUUUUUGUUGAUCUUAUCAUAUUCUGUACGACAGAACUAGUUUCAAUUGCGUAGCUUGUUUGAGCAUCGAAAUCAACUGCUUUCGGUCACUGCGAUGAUAGCCGUAGUGAAUCAUUAGCAUCCUUCUAUCGCCUGCGUACCCCUCGGUAACGAGAGUACCGCUAUAUUACAUACACGUAAUUUUUCUUAAACGAACGUUUUCUGAACUAAUGUUUUACCCAAUUAUAAUAGUUCACGCAACCGGACGGUCGUUUCCGGUCGACUUCAUUCAAUUACCAUUUGUGUUCGCCAAUCAUCAGCGACCUUUCGGCUUCUGUUGUUUGUAUUGCGUCGGUCAGAAAGCAGUUCCGCCCUUAAAUCAAUUUGAGAGUGGUCAAGUCUGAAAAGGACUAACUCUCUUAAAGGGAGUAAUGCCUUUUGGUGGUCCGUUUAGAAAACAGGCAGAUUCCUCCAGAAGACGAUUCAUUUCCCUACUCCUAUCAUUUGCUUUCGAUUGGUCAUUCGCCAAAGCGAGCUGCGUAGAUCCGAACAGUUAUAAUCCGAUCGAGCAAUGUCUAGGAUAAGAACAGGGCGCGAAGACGUUCAUCGAAAAGCCGUCAGAAUUUUCUAAUCUUCCAAAUCGUUAUGAAGUCAGAUGUUUUUAUUGCGAACUUCUUCGAUUCUCCUGGGCCUUUGCAUUGUCGAGAAAUUUUUGACCACGCGUGAGGCAAACUGCAUUGUGAAUUGAUCACCAUUUUGCUGUUAUGCCCUCUCAGAUUCCAUUAAAUCCUACGAGGAGCUAAAAGAUUUAUGUUUUAUUUCCAAUGCUCACGUUGUGUAGAGGAAUUUUUCUUAUGGCGUGAGCAAUCGUACCGAACUAGUCGAGCGGCUGACAGUAGUAUAGGGGAUUUACAUCAUUACUUUUCAUAGUAUUCUGUAAUCCGUGUAGGCAAUUGUCUUGCAACUGACUUCUAUCUACACAGAGAGCUGUUUAGGUUAAUGGAUAGAACUUUAACGUACGACCAUACUUUGAUUCUCUGAACGAAACUUAUGCGAUCGUCUCGAUCAUUAUCGAUUCUCUAACAGGUGUUAAAUCCAGUUUAGCGAAAUAGUUUCCGCUUGAAAAUUAACAGCAAAAUGAGGUUCCGUUUUAGAUACGAAACUUCAAAAUCAGUUUUCACGUAUUUCCACUACUAGGGGCUGAUUCGUAUGCGCUUCAAUAGGCCUGAUGUAGAAAUGCAAAGAUGUUUAUGUUAGCUAAAUGAUAUCAAAAGACUGUCUCUAUUUUAGAGGUAAGAAGGGGAUUGGCGCAUGCCAAAUUUUAAUAUUUUCAGGCAACGGUAAAUUGACUCUAAGGUUCCUAUAGUAAAUACAUUAUUAUUAUUUUUAUUUCGUUUUCAAUUAAUCAAACAAAAAAACUGUUUCGCAAAAAUAAGCUUUGUUUCCUAACAAAUUCAGAUAACUAAAUAAGCUUCAUAUUAUAAAUUCAUGCUAUGCUCAUAUAAUUAUGUUACCAAUCUCCAUGCUGUUGUUUUAAGCGAGGUCUACAGUUACUUUAGCUAGAAAGUAAAACUUAUAAUGAUCGGCCUUGCCUGCCAAUACAAUAUUAAACUAACAUAAUAAUCCACUUCUUCUAACAUACGUCUCAUGGCAAACCUAAAGCAAUAAUUGCAAAAAAAUGGCAGAAUUCGUAUUCGGUUUUUUACCAUAGUAGAAUAUGUGAGCACGUCUUAGAUAUGAGCAUGAUACAAUUACUUCAGUUUAUCCUGCGAGAACAUUUAAUAUAUACAUAAAGGUCUAGUAUGCAUCCAAUUUAAAAUAUACCGUUUGUGUAUCGUUCCUCACGAUUUCUCCAAGGAUUUUCCUCCACUGAUCAUUUUAGGCUUUACAUGAAAUUUUGGGUAAUAGAAAAAAUACCCCACCGAUUUCUAUUGUAUCGUUCUUUUCCAUAUUUCUCAUACAAGUGACAACUAACCAUUCAACUAAUAUAUAUAUAUAUAUAUAUAAACUGAAUUAUUUGAUAAUAAUCAAGAAUGCAGCCAUGUAACACAUAAUAUACCCUGUUUACUGUUACUGCUACCUUUUACUGACCAAGAUGAAUUUUUUCCACAUAUAUAUGUGUAUAUAUAUGUGCGUGUAUGUUGGGUGUGUAUGACGAGUGAGUAAGUGAGUGAGAGAGGAUUCUUACACCUUUUUUUUAACAUCAUUUUGUGAUGAAGCGGGUUACUGUUAAUAUUUCGUACAUUUGUUGUUGUCGUCGUCUAGAGAUAGGAUGAGGAUUCGAUUUUGCAGUCUUCCAAAGCAUCUUUUAAUAGCAUCAAUAAUUUGGCCCGGUAUCUAGAACUUACUAAACAACAUUGUAAAUUGCAAAGUUUUCAACACAGCGGUUGGUAGAGUACAACUAUAUCCUUAUGCUCUUUGUAAGCCUACCAUAAAAGUUCAAAGGUUGAAAUGCCUGGCAGUUUCUUUUAGACCGCUUAACCUUCGAAUUAGUUUAAAAAAAACAGAGAUUUUUCGUCGUAGAGUAUAAGAACUCUAAAUUACAGUUGCUGAUGAAAUGUUAUCGAAAUAGCAUCUCAUUAUUUGAAGUUUUACAGACAAACACGCAAUGCGUUCAUUUUAGGAAAAGUAGAUUGCAACAUAAUUAUAACAAUCGAUUGUUCACUGGUGGCAACCUAAAAUCUGGUAAAUCAAUCGACAGGUCUCAAUGUCCUUUAGGUUUACAAUAUUACUACGUAGCCGGAACCGUUGCACCAAGCGCAAACGAUCGAUCCCCAAAUAGAAGUAUUCGGGGACCGAUCGCUUAUAUAUGGCGGGUACUGGUUGUUGACGACCCCUCGUAUUUCCAAUACAUAUUAUACCCUUACGUAUAUAUCUUGAGCCGACAGAAAUUUAUUUGUGUUUGUUCGGGGACUGAACAAACGUUUAUUUAUUUUACUCAAAACCACUUCAUAUCAAAUAGUGUUCUUUGCAUAGAUGCUAGGUACGCCGCCCUUAUGAUGAUGCGUAGUAAAAACUUCACAUGAGCGUGUAUUUGUGUACUGUUAAAAACCUCACUACGUUCGAAGCUCUAAACAUGUGAGAAAUUCAGUCAAUUAUUGUAAAACUAGCUAAUUUUUAUUUCGAUGAACAGUUUCUGAGAAGCUGCUUUAGAGUAAUGACUGUUCAAGCAGCGGACUCGAUACCAAUUUAAAAGCUGCUCUUUCAAAAUUGAUUUUCAACUAAAUGAUAAUAAUAUGCACAGAUUCAUACGAUGUCGCUAAGUGACGAAGUAGCCAUUAUCACGAGGCGGGCUCAAGUAAUUCCAGCUGCUCUAGAAGCAUGUAGCGUUUAUAUUCCGUUUAAAAAAUCUGUGUAUAGAAAAAUGUAUUGCUUUGGGGGAAAACGAGUCGAAGUUCAGGGAGGCACUGAGUUCGAACUCGUCUAGUUGCAACCAGACUAGCUUUAAAUACCUUUAGUCAUUGAGUGUUUAUAGCGAUUACUUUAAAUAACCUGUCUGCAAUAAAUGACUAAGGAAAAGCUUUUCACAUCAUGAUUGUCAAAUAUAUGAAUAGAAACUAAUAUAUACAAUUAUCAGUUGAUAAUG